GUACUGUUAACGCAGUACAUAUACUAAAUUUGGAGCGAUACAGAGAAGGUUAGCAUGCCCCCCCCCCCUGCGCAAGGUUGACACGCAAGGGGGCAUAAACAAUAUUAAU